CCGUGAGCGUGAGAGAGAGUUCCACUGCGACCUAGCUUGUGUUUCAACGUUGCCGUCGAAAGAGAACUCCAAAGAUUAUGCGCGGCCGCUGCCACCGUGACCCUGUCGACAAAGGAGAGUUCCACUGCGACCUCUACCUCUCUGUGUUGUGUCUCUGCCUGUGCUGCCUGUGCUGCUGUAAUUCCCUUCCAAAGUCUCUACUUCCUCCCCUUCCCAAUUCUCAUAUCCUCGUCCUUACUCAUGUUCUGUAAAGUAAUCCCCUUUCCUUUCUCUCUUUAAUUUAUACAAUUUUUAUCUCUUACUUGCAAAAGAUUAGAGCUUGAGCAUCGUGGGUUAAUGGGGUGCCUCAUUUGCUUCUUUCUUCAAUGCUUCAUGUAAAUGUUGUUAGUGUUAGUGGUUAAUGUUGUUCAAGAGAGUACUGAAUUGGGUAACUAUGUAAUUGGUCAGCACCAAGUUAGUUUUAUGUUGGCUACUGCCUCUAAAGAGUACAAUUUUGUGGUUUCUAACAAAUUUCUGCUAGCAGUGGAGACAAUGUUGCUACCAUUUAUCUUUUUGUAAUAGAAUGAUUUAUGUUUAAGUGCUAGAGGUGAUGAAUUUCUAGAUUUGUAGCGUGAUACAUAUUCGUAUUCAAUACUUUCAUUUUUGUUACCCUCUUAAAGGUUGUUGUUUUUUUAGUGGUUCACAGUGGUGUGAUGCAUGGAUGAAUAUUAACUUAGAGCACUAUUUAAUAGAAAGGAAAAUGCCUUCGGAAUUCAGCAAAAAGCUUCCAUAUGCUUGCUAUCCUUGCGAACAUGGCUCGAGAGGUGUUAGCCAUUCCUAUCUCUACCGUAGCAUCAGAGUGUGCAUUCAGUACAAGAGGAAGAGUGGUUAGUCCUUAUCGUAGUUGCCUAACGCCUAAAAUAGUGGAAGUGCUUGUUUGUACACAAGAUUGGUUAAAAGGAACACCUUUCUCUAUACGUUUUGAUGAGGAUCCUAAAGAACUUGAUAAAUUUGAGCAAGAGAUAACCUCUCAAGAUGAAGUGGGACCUUCAAGUGCUGCUAUUAAUUUGGAUGAUUGAAGCUUUGCCACAAUUUGUUAGUUAUCUAAAGUACAUGUGGUGGUUGAAGAUGAUGACAAGGAAGUGGUUGCUCAAGCAUGCACUAGUCUGGCUGAUAUCAUCAUAGAUUAUGGUUUUGCAACUCUUGAGCCUUACUUGGCACAGCUUGUUGAUGCAACUUCAUUGUUGCCUCGGGAGCAUUCUGCUUGGCAAUAGAGUCAGACACUGAAAUCUCGCAAUGCUUUGUCUUUUGAGAAAGAUGAUCUGCGUCAGAAGAAUGUCUCGUAUGCCA